rnacentral:misc_RNA from 1 species
UGGGUUGUAGCUGGCCUUACGAGGCAUGUGCACGCCCUGCUCAUCCACUCUACACCUGUGCACUUACUGUGGGUUACCCAUCGCGAAACGGGCUCUUCACUGAGCUCGCGGAGCGCACCUGUGCCCGCGUUUAUCACAAACCCUAUAAAGUAUUAGCAUGUGUAUUGCGAUGUAACGCAUCUAUAUACAACUUUCAGCAACGGAUCUCUUGGCUCUCGCAUCGAUGAAGAACGCAGCGAAAUGCGAUAAGUAAUGUGAAUUGCAGAAUUCAGUGAAUCAUCGAAUCUUUGAACGCACCUUGCGCUCCUUGGUAUUCCGAGGAGCAUGCCUGUUUGAGUGUCAUGAAAUCUUCAACUUACAAGCUCUUUGCGGGGUUUGUAGGCUUGGACUUGGAGGCUU